rnacentral:tRNA from 1 species
GAGAUUCGAACUCAGAACCAAUCGGUUAAAAGCCGAUUACUCUUCCAUUGAGCUAGCAUUUCAUAUAAAUAAUA